GACGCGGCCCGACCUGGGAUUGGUCGUUUCUGCGUCGGGGGCGGGGCCGAGAGGAGCGGCACGAGCGGGCCGAGAAGGGGCGGGAGCAGAGAACUUUCUAGAGAAGCAGUUAAACGGGUUGGGGCUCCUUGGGCUGUAGGUACCCGAGGGCUUUUUUUUUUUUUUUUUUGGAAGAUUUGUUUUUCUGGUUGAUAGCUCCUAAGGGCGGCCUCUUCUCCCACUCCAGGACCGCACGGAUUUCGAUGAUCACAAUGUUCCCCAUGUCCUCCCUCCCCCGUCUCCCCCUCCCCUCUCCCCUCUCCCCUCCCCGCCCGGAGUCUAGCCGAUUUUUCCAGAUCCUUCUCCAUCCUCCAUCCUCUCAAGUCCGGGCUUGCCUGGCAGCCCGCCCUGGUCAUCCAGGACCACAACGCAGUAGCUGGAGCCGGUCAGCCAGAUAGGAAGUGACAAAGGUCGGCCUCCCGCGAUGGGGCUGCACGGGUCGCGGGCCUGGGCACCUGAGCGGUGUGGAGCGUAGAGGCAGGGGGAGUGAAAGCGUUGGCCCGGAAGGGAACGGUUUCAGCCCAGGUGCACAAAUCACGGGACACAACUUUGUCUCCUGGCAGCUUGGCAGGCCCACAGGGAUGAGCUGCUUUCCACAUGCCGGGAGCAGAUUUGUAAGAGAUGAUCCCCUGAGCCAAUGACUUGUGAGUGGGGUAUGUUUGUGUGAAAACAGUAUUUUUUCCACUAUAUUAACCAGCCCUUUUUUUUUUUUUUUUUGUUGCUAGCACUGGAGCACAAAAUGGUUUCAACUCACGAAAAAAAAAAUUCUUUCCCAUUUUAUCAAAGGAGGAAGGAACCUUUUCUUCCCCAACCAGCGACUCCUAAGAGAUGCCUGUGGAGUUCCGGGUCUGUGUGGCUAAAUCCGUGAAGUUCUAGUUAUAUCGAAACAGUGCCGGCUUGAUCAAAAGAUCUAUCUGGAGAGGUCCGCACCCUGGGACUCUGCGCCCUAGCGCCACAGUUAUACAUAGUCCCUGAAUAACAGCACAGAAGAGAGAAACCACUAAAAACAAAAGGAUUCUUCAGAGAAGAAACAGAAAUGGAAGCUAGAAACUGUGGAACAAAUUUUCCAAGAAUGCAAACAAAAGUACAAGGUGCUAAGAAUGAUGAAAAAAACCUUAAAAGGAAAAAAAAAAAAAAGGUGAAAUGUGAAGAGGAGUCAGGCGGGAGACACUGGCCGGUUCUGCCUCCUGGUGGCCUCACGCUGAGCAGGUUCUGUGUAUUUUCCAGGUUGGAAGUGUUUCUUGCCUUUAGGUUUUCCUGUCAGCAUCAAAGCAAUGGGUUUCAUUAUGGCAUUUCUUAUAUAGAUGUCACUGUCCUUUGUCCUUUUCCCCCACUGUUCUCUCCCAACCCUCUCCCCAUUCUGUUUGCUUUUCCCACGUGGUCUCCCUCUCGGCUUUCAUCUCCUAUAUAUACACAUUUAUACAUUUAGAAUCCACGCAUGUAAGCAAACCUAGCAUUUGUUCAGGUCUGCCUUAUUUUGCUUAGCAUAAUCUUGAGUUCUGUCCUCCUUUCUGUAAGGCUGAAUGACAUUUCACUGCACAUAUACCACAUUCUUAAACCCGCUGUCGCUGGGCUUCUCGCCACUCCACAACCUACAGCAGCAGGUGUGGAAGCCUCGCAUCCACUUUGUUAGGUUUAGCCCUGGGUCCUUUCGUUUUGCUGCUGCUUUAAAUGUUGCCAAAGAUUUUUCUAUUUACUUCUGAUCUAUCAAAGGCAUGGAGAGAUGUUUCAGCUGCUAAAGGUUAAGCUCACAACCCAAAUGUCAAAAUGUAUUUCACUUGUGUUAUGCACAGUAUUUGUAACGGGAUUUUCCGGUUGACCAUUAUUACUGCUUUUGUGUUUCAGAAGGGAGACCUCAUCAUGUAUCCCAGAGUGGCCUCCCACUUGAAAUGCUUGUCUCUGCCUUCCAAAUGUUUGGAUUAAAGGUCUGUGCUGCCACACCUGGCCAUUUUUACCAUUCCAGGUGGACAGUUCAGCAGCUUUAAAUACAGUGUUGUGCAACCACA